rnacentral:lncRNA from 1 species
CACACACACUCUCACACACUUACUCACUUUCCUCUUCUCCCUCCCCAUGUUCGGUUUCUUCCUUAUCACUAACCACUAUCUAACUUAUUACAUAGUUUACUUGUUUAUCUAGUUCAUCAUCAAUUCCUGACUAGGAUGCAAACUCCACAAAGGCCGGGCUUUCGUCUGCUUUGUGGACCACGUUCAGCACCUGAGCCUCUCUCAUUCACACCCAGGCACCAGCUCAGUCGCCCUAGUACUUUGGGUGAAGAGGAAGGAAUAUGGGCAUCAGUGGUUCUUUUGUUCAGCCAAAGAGCACCCGGCACCAUCGGUCUGCUCUUGAGCCUGGCAAGUGCAUUUUUUUUUGGGAGCUACCCCACCAUGGAAUGCCAAGGAGUCCAGGGCAGGACACCAUUCCUAUCAGCAAACACUAGAACAGGGUAGACGCUGUGUGCCUCUGGUGUUUAUCACGUGCUGCCUCUAAUAAAUGCUAUUCACAACCACCACUAGACCAGGUCCCGUGCACCCUGACCCAUUUUAACAAACGUACCCAUUGAAUACAGUGAAGCUGGGGAAGCCCAGCCCAGGAGCAUUGCCUCACUGGGUCAGUCCCACUGCUGGGCUAGGACACCUGUGGUCCCUUCUUCUCACCCUGGAGCUGUGUCUGUGUGAGGGGCUUGCCCCUAAGCCAGCCCACCUGGCACCAUGAGGCCCCUGCCUUAUACAACGGCGAGUCGCCCCAGUUCGCCAUUGCAGCCCCGGACGUGCGCCUCCCGCGGAGCCGCUCGCUCUCCUGAGUCGGAGUCGGGAACCCGGCGUCCGUUGCCAUGGCGACUCCCAGGCUUCCCCACAAGACUCCCACAGCCUGGAGGCUGCUGCGAUACCCCAGAGGAAAGCUGCACCCCCGUAAAUAACCCUUCAGCCUCCCGCCGUGCCCCUGGACCCUGCUCGCUUCCUCCUCUACCCAGGCGCGGAGCUCAGCCUACCUCGUGGACCCGCGCAUUUGCGGGGGCUUGAAUUCCCGAGCUUCUCGCUUCCUACGCGCGCAGCAGACCCGCAGCUCGGUGGCCUUGGCUUUCAUGGCCUCCCAGCGUGUGCCAAAGGUCCCCCUCAAGGAGGAGGAAAAGCAGUGAACCCAUCUAAUAACUAUGCUCAUGACAUAAUGAGCCCUGCGAUCCCGGACCAAGGCCAUCAUAAGAGGAGAGCAGGCUGCCUAAUAAGCUGUCUCCACCUGCCACAAACGUAGGCGUUCCUGGACAAAAUAUUUCCUUGCAGAGAUUAAACAGAUUUCUAUUUAAUGAGGUCAGAAUGUGAGGCGUUAAGUCUUAAACUAUACCAUCUAGUGUGGAAUUCAAUUUUACCAGGUUUCUACAAUAAUAAGAGUUAAUAGUGAAACUGUUGUCAUCCUUAGUUUUAAAUUAUGUAUCACUCAUUGUCAACUAAUAGGAGACACCUAUUCUAAUAUCAGUAUGUCAUUGUUUUUCUGUAAACGACUGGCUAAAUUUAUUUUUAAAAUGUCAUUGUCUGGUUUAGAACUGUCUAUACUACAUCUGCAUUUCAAUAUAUUAUCUACAGAAAAAUAA